rnacentral:lncRNA from 1 species
GUUAUAAGCUAGUUCUUAGAUGGUUUGUGGGGCUUACCUGUUUCCCAAAAGGGUCAAACUCUUUUGCCGGAGGUUGGUGCUGUCCAAACUUCCUUAUAAAUUGGUUUUAAUAUAGGGUAUUCUUCUGCAAGCAGGCCACUAUUAUGAUAUGUGUUUAGAUUAGGUGGAAGACUGAGCACGUGGCCGUUACUUGUUCCUUUGCUUGGCGCUGUUGGCAACAUUUAGUUAAUGCGUGUACCUUGGGUUUUUUUCUACCUCUUUGCCAGCUCUUGUUAAUUUUCUUUCUAGAGCCUUGGUAGAGAGGUGGAAGAGAGCAUUAGUUGUUCAUUUUAGUUGGUUGCCUUGAUACGCUAGGAAUGGGAGGUUGUUUCAGUCUAUUCACUCUUCACUGGAAGUCCUGGUAAUGAAGGCCUUUGUAAUUGUAAUAGACGUUCCUGGACCAGCAAAAUUUUGCGUUUCAUACACCCACCCCUUAAAACUUAAUUUUGAUGGUUCGGUUCAACCUUAUGCUGCAAGUUUUGCUUUUAUCAUUAUGAUUUUCAGGGGAAUUUAGUUGCAGUUGGGGAUCAUAAGCGUUUGGGAGGCUGUUCAGUGGCCUUUGCUGAGCUUGUUGCUGUGUGGCUUCGUGUACAGGUUACUGUACAACGGUUGGGCGCUCAUAGUUUUGGACAGAGGGCAAUUCCAAAACAGUAAUCGGAUGGAUUAUCAAUCUUUAUUCUUCUCAAUAUGCAUCACUUUUGCUGCUGCAGGAUAUAAUUCAUUGGAAGUGGUCUCCAUUUUUUUUCUUUUUUGUAGGUCAGAUUGUCAUACAGAUCUGAUAUGAAUACAUCCAAAAAAAUCAGAAAAUAAGAUAUCCUUGAAAGCCAAAGGAAGGUCUUCGACCUUUAUCUACACAGUUUCUCUAAUAUGAUCAGCCACAUAGGAUGCCAUCCAGUCAGUAGAAGUGUUGCCCUUAUAGUAAAUAUAGUGAAUCUCGAUAAAAAAGCAGCUUCUCACCAAACACUGGCUAUCAUGAAAGGUGCACUACUACUAAUGAUGGUUGCCCAGAUAACCAGACUAUCACGGUGGUUGAGUCUCCCUCAAUCACAAGUCUCUCAACUCCAAGCCUCAAUCUGACAAAGGUAAUGUCCACCCACACUGCCUGCAGCUCUGCCAUCGGAACCAUGGUGCUGAUGAGGUGACAGCCACCGGCAGCCAUUGGAAGUGGUCUCUUUGGGUGGCCAAAUUCACUCAUAUUUGCAGAGAAGGGAAACAGGCUGCAGAUUGGAUAUCUGUUCAGGCCCAUCAGGGUGAUUUUAGUUUUUCGGGCUCGGAUAGCAUGCAUCCUGAUUUAGCUUAUAUCCUGGCUGCAGAUCGGCUUGGCUUGAAUGUUGUAUAUAUACAGGCCCAAGCCUGUUUCUUUCUUCUUCGUUUUUUCCCUUCUCUCACCUAGAUCUUUGCAUCCUCCUUUGUUUUACCAAUAAAACAACUUUUGCAUCGAAAUGAGUUGCUUAGGCCAACCAUGAAGGAGCAAGCUCAUUGUUGGUUUGUGCAUCUCUUCACCAUAGAUGCAGGAAGCAGCCAAUAUACAAGCCCCCAUUCAAUGGUAAUUA